GCGCCAGUCUCGCUGAAGAAGGUGUUGAACGCAUCGUCUCCGCCACCUAUGGUCUUGUCACUCGGCAUCUGCCCGUCCGGCUGCGGCGCACACGCAACAAGCACACGGUCAGAGGCAAUAGAGCUCCCAACACGCGUUCCCGACUUGGAUUCCAGCUUGCCCGAUGUGGAUUGAAAUGCACUCUCUCAUCUUUACGUACUGGCUCGGGAACUCGAACUUGGAAGAAUGUAUGAGCUGGUCUCUCUUCGUAAGGAGGUUGUGGCGAUGGACGAAGUAACCUGUAAACAACGGACACGGGCUAUAGAUUUCAACCGCAAGUAACCGCUGGAACCGCUAACGACCAGUUAGUGAAUCCCGUUUCCGUGACAACGGAACCGACGUGGUCUCGACGUCAUUCUACGUAAAUUUCCGCUGGUCUCGCUGGCAUGACAAGUGUAGAGCCUUAUGCUGUGGCCACAAUCGAAGCACAUCAUAUGGACAAAGAGGGACAGAUCAUUGUACACAGAAAGUGGCAUUGGCAACAAGAGAAUGUACACUCCCUUUUGUUUAAACUACGGCUGAGGAAGCAUACAGAGACCCCACUUAAGUGUACAGUGAUGUUUCUAGAAGAUGUUUUGCGUCUCGGGGAAUCGUUUUCCUGCUUUUUAUUUUCUUUUCUCUCUCCUUUUGAUUUUCUCUUUCCCAGAUUUCAAUCUUCUAGAAGAAGAAGAAGCUGACACAGGGUCGAGGCUACUUAUUAAUGUCGCUGCCCAGCGUGGAAAUGUUGGCAACUGAUCAACGACUCUUUGGAGAGGAGGAAAGAUGUCACUAUUCACGAGAUAUGUUGACUGGAAACACGCGACCGCGAGCUUUGAACCACACGAACUCCAGGCAGUGACGAGAACUUUAAGAGCCAUUUUGUGUAUUCAAAGACUGCACGAAGGAAGGUUCCAUUCGUGCUUUGUACAAAGCUUAUGCAGAAGCACGCGGAAAGGAAAGAGAUCCGCGGAGCUGCUUCAUGGAAGUUGUGAGACUCAACUGUUGCGGAUUGCGGCACGCAGACGUAGCGAGAAAUUUCUACAGGAUGUUUUCUAAUCAGUCCAUUCCGUCCAGGCAGGGUGGAACAGGAACAGUGGAAGAAGCUUCUACUGGUGGCACGAAAGUAAACGUUUGAUAUCGCAAGACAAAAGCGAGGAAAGAGACCAGCAAAGCUGCGCGUGAUUAAAUUCGUAGCCGGCAAGCUUUGCAAGGCUUGUACGUUGAGAAAAAAACCCACCGAGAAUCGCUCGCCAAGUUCCCAUGGUUUUGAGAUUCUCGUGGAACAACACACAAACUUCACCA